rnacentral:lncRNA from 1 species
GGAACACCUGCAGCCAAUGGGAGCGCGGCGCUGCGGGGGGCGGUGGCUGAGGGAGCGGGGCAUGUGUGAGGGGACAGGUGUCAGGGGACUGGUGUGAGUGGACUGUGCGUAGGGGACAGGUGAGGGGGACAGUGCUGAGGGGACAGGUGCCAGGGACUAGGGAGACAUGAAAGGGAGGACAGUUGUGAGGGAUAGAAGACAGUGCUGGGGGACAGGGGACAGGUGUGAGGAGACUGGCCCUGUCUGCCUCCCCCCAGAGAUGCCAGAGCUGCUUUCCAGGAAAUUUCAGCAGGAAGCCCCAGUAGUGAUGUCCCAUGGCAGGCAUUGACUUUUGACUAUCAAGCCAUCCUCAACUUAAAAGUUGCAAUAUUUCUGCCUACUACAUCUAGAUUUGAAGAGCUGACAGCCUCCUACAGGUAAUUUACUUUAAUUCCAGGUGUAAAUGAGAUAUCUAAAAUUUUAGUUAUUUAAAAAAUCACCAUUAGAAUCUUUUCAUAUCAGAUCUUUUAGUCUUAAGAGCAGUGAUCUGAAGCAAUCUGUUUGAGAAAGAGAAAGAUAAAAAGGUUUUUGGGUUUUUUUUCAAAUAUUUAAUUUCUGAAAUUCUACAUUCAACCACAGCAUCCAGUCAUGCCACAGAUUACUGUAGCAGCAAAGAUGUUAUUUAUUAAAUAAUCUAAUGAUGGUAGUCCAACUAAUGCAACCUGGGAGUCUGAUGUUUCGUCCUUCUUGAACUAUCUUUUUUGACUAAAAGUUAUGAGCAUUCUGAGUGUUGCUUUCUGAACAUUCUCCAUUAUUUCCAGGCACUCUUGUUAAUUCUUUUCAGGGCUGUACAUCCGCAGGUUUCCAGCAGAUGGCAAGAGAUUCCCAGGCAACGCUCUGGGAAUCACGGUUGUGCAGGCGAUUCUUACAAGUCGUACGUCUUUAUUUAGUGCUUCAGGGUGUUGAGAACUGUUCUUUAAAAAUCAGUUUAAAAGUGAAAAAAAAAAAGUCGUUGGGUUAAUGAUUGCAUUAAUAUAAAGUACAGCAUCGGACACAAGGUACUUGUGGUAGUUGUCUCUUGCUGACAAGGCUGACCAAAAACUCCCUCCCAAAUGCUCCAAUGAAAACAUCAUUAUGGCAGCUACUUCUUCAAGACAGCUGUUGCAAAAAAGGGUCAAUCAGUACUAAUUUCACCUCAGUAGAAGACAGGUAUCCUGUUUGUACUUGAAUUCAUGACUCAAAAUCUUCAGCUAUAUUAGGACCUUCCAAGUUUCCAACAUUUUAAAGAUUUAGUAGGGAUUAGGAUGAUGCUUUCAGACUGUGAACUAAACAGCAAAGAAAUUGAGAGAGCCAGCUCAUAUCUCCAAAUGCAUGUGAAGUGUGAGUAACUGGUUCUGUAUCACUUUAGAAUAAAAUAGAAUAAAAAUGCCUCCCCA